AGUUACUUGGCUGAUAGGAAAGCUUGUGUUUUGAAAGCUCAUUAUAGAGGUUCGAAUCCUCUAGUAACUU
rnacentral:tRNA from 1 species